rnacentral:lncRNA from 1 species
ACCACAGCCAACGUCCCUGGGGAUAUGUGGCCAGUCCAGCUUGAGCACAAGAGGGAAAGUCCCCUUGACAAUAUCACAGUCAUGCACUUUUCAGCUUGCCAAUGCAAAACAUACAUGAUGCAAACACAAUGAGCCAGGAGUAAUCCAGCCCUUCCUGAAGACAGCAACCUGCAGGAAACACACAUCAGGAUUCCAGGGCUAGGGAUCAGUAUGUCCUCUCAGCCAGGACCCAGCCACAUCAAGGUGGCUAGCUCAGCUUGUGGCCCCACAGAUGCUACAUUUUCCAGUUCAAGGUGGCUUUACCUACCCUCCCUCCCAUCCUCUUUCUGCUGUUAUGAUGGGUAACUGUGCUUGAACACUGUAGACUUCAACUCUUUGAUUUCACAGUGGCUUUUCUGCUCUACUCUGUGGAGGGAAGCCCUAAUCUUGGGAAGUUUACCUGUUUAGCUGUGGUCACAUUCCUGAUUCAAUGGAAUACAAGAGACUAGCCGUGGGGGAGAGAGGGGGAGAAGUGAUGCUGCUUGCAAGGGUCGAUGCACACUGCAAUUCACCUCCAGAAUACCACUCUCAACUCCAAACUUCUCUCAGUUGUACGGUGAGAGUGAAGACAACAGAGCAAGGAGACUCUGGCUCCCAUUAGGUGGCCUCUCCUUCUCUGCUUCCGUGUUAUUUCCUUAAAGCUCUGCUUGGUAAGUGUGCAAAAGGAAGGUUUAGAUUUUGCUGACUCAAAGAACAAUAUAGAAAGCAUCUAAAACAUUUCUUUGCAUUUUAUGACUACAAACAGAGAACGGGAAGUGAGGAAGCAGAAGGCUUGUAGGGCUUCUUGGCUCAUGAACUGCCUAUAUGCUGUUUCCACAGUCCUUUCCUGAUCUCCAUAUUCCUCAGAGCACAGAAGUGCUACCUGCGAACUCUCCUUGGUCCAGGGAUGCAGAGAGAGAAAGAGGAAACAGGCAGGCAAUUACCCCAUGUGGCUCAGAGUCACAAGGCCAAGGGAAGCCACGCUGUAUAGAAGAGGAGCUUGGCUUCCUGGUUCACCUUUGUCAUCUUUCCUAGACUGCAGUAAACAGAGUCACCAGCAUCUUACCUCCAGGACUACACCAACUCUAAUGUACCUUACCAGUUGCUGCCAGAGGGGCCUUUCUAACUCAUAAAUUAGCAUAAUCCUCCAGUUCUUCAAAAUCCUACAGUAGCCACCUCGGGGAUGGGAUAAAGGAUUGUUACUUUAGCACAGAUUCCUUAUCAGGAGUUGGAAUUAAGCGCUGUAGACCUAUGAGGACUUCAGUCUUGUCUGCAAAAUGAGCUUUGGGCCCAACAGCUCAGGCCUCUUUCGUGGGACCCUCCUCAUGUGCUAGCCUUCCACAAAAUAUUCCUCAGCCUGGAUUUUCACAGACGCCACACCCUCACCCUCCUGCUGCUCAGCCCUCCCACCGACUCAUCUGCCUUGGGUGAUGGCCACGCCCUCCUCUGUCUGGCCUCCACUUUCUCUAACCUGGAGCAACUACUCUCCUGACCCUGCCUUACAGAGUUCAAGUUUCUGGCAGGCGGGGACAUGUUUUAUAGGCUUUUUUGUCCCCCAAGGCUCACAACUCAGCAGUUCCUGAACAGAGGAGAGACUCUAAGGCACCAUACAAAAUACAAGGAACUUGGCUACCAAAUCUUGAGUUCCAAGCCUCCUGCUUCUGGGCUUUUGCCACGAAGCCAAGACAUUAAC